AGGAUAAACGCUGGCGGCGUGCCUAACACAUGCAAGUCGAACGACCUUGUUGUCGCAAGAGAACGAGGGAGUGGCGGACGGGUGAGUAACACGUGGGUGACCUACCCUUUGGUGAGGAAUACCGGCGAGAAAUCGCCGACAAGACCGCAUAGGCUCUCUCACGAGAGCAAAGCUUCGCGCAAGCGAGGCGCCAGAGGAUGGGCCUGCGUCCGAUUAGCUUGUUGGUGGGGUAAUGGCCUACCAAGGCGACGAUCGGUAGCUGGUCUGAGAGGACGAACAGCCACACUGGGAUUGAGAACGGCCCAGACUCCUACGGGAGGCAGCAGUGGGGAAUAUUGGACAAUGGGCGCAAGCCUGAUCCAGCAAUGCCGCGUGGGUGAAGAAGGUCUUCGGAUUGUAAAGCCCUUUCGGCGGGGACGAUGAUGACGGUACCCGCAGAAGAAGCCCCGGCUAACUUCGUGCCAGCAGCCGC
rnacentral:rRNA from 1 species